rnacentral:rRNA from 1 species
GAGCGGGGGAAGGUAGCUUGCUACUGGACCUAGCGGCGGACGGGUGAGUAAUGCUUAGGAAUCUGCCUAUUAGUGGGGGACAACAUCUCGAAAGGGAUGCUAAUACCGCAUACGUCCUACGGGAGAAAGCAGGGGAUCUUCGGACCUUGCGCUAAUAGAUGAGCCUAAGUCGGAUUAGCUAGUUGGUGGGGUAAAGGCCUACCAAGGCGACGAUCUGUAGCGGGUCUGAGAGGAUGAUCCGCCACACUGGGACUGAGACACGGCCCAGACUCCUACGGGAGGCAGCAGUGGGGAAUAUUGGACAAUGGGGGGAACCCUGGUCCAG